CCACAUCUGUACCCUAGAGUUCAGAGUGGGGAAGGAACCUUGACAGAGGUAUUGGUGCAGCACACAGGGAAACUGAGGCACACACACUAUUCAUGCAAAACAGUAAAACUCUCAUAGGCUCAACAGUAAGCCUCACAUACAACA